UACGUAGGUGGCAAGCGUUGUUCGGAAUUAUUGGGCGUAAAGGGCGCGUAGGUGGCCCGGUCAGUUCGUGGUGAAAGCGCGGGGCUCAACCCUGCGUCGGCCAUGAAUACUGCCGCGGCUGGAGCACUGUAGAGGCAGGCGGAAUUCCGGGUGUAGCGGUGGAAUGCGUAGAGAUCCGGAAGAACACCGGUGGCGAAGGCGGCCUGCUGGGCAGUUGCUGACACUGAGGCGCGACAGCGUGGGGAGCAAACAGG
rnacentral:rRNA from 1 species